rnacentral:rRNA from 1 species
UACGUAGGGCGCAAGCGUUAUCCGGAAUUACUGGGCGUAAAGGGCUCGUAGGCGGCCAACUAAGUCGGAUGUGAAAUCCCUAGGCUUAACCUGGGAACUGCAUCCGAUACUGGAUGGCUUGAAUCCGGGAGAGGGAUGCAGAAUUCCAGGUGUAGCGGUGAAAUGCGUAGAUAUCUGGAGGAAUACCGGUGGCGAAGGCGGCAUCCUGGACCGGCAUUGACGCUGAGGAGCGAAAGCUAGGGGAGCAAACGGG